rnacentral:lncRNA from 1 species
UUUUUUGACAGUAUUGAGAAAGGUUUUUGUCAGGAUGAAUCCAUAUACAAGACAGAACCUAGACCAGAAGCAAAGACUAUGCCCAAUUCUUCAACUCCUACCAGCCAGAUCAACACAAUUGAUACAAACUGGAGCCUACACUUGAAAAUCUAGAAAAUCUGGAUGUCAGUGCAUUUCAAGCACCUGAAGAUUUAUUAGAUGGUUGUCGGAUAUAUCUUUGCGGUUUUAGUGGCAGAAAGCUAGAUAAACUGAGAAGACUUAUUAACAGUGGAGGUGGAGUUCGUUUUAACCAGCUAAAUGAAGAUGUAACUCAUGUUAUUGUGGGAGAUUAUGAUGAUGAAUUGAAGCAGUUUUGGAAUAAAUCAGCCCACAGGCCUCAUGUAGUGGGAGCAAAGUGGUUGC